CAGCAGCCGCGGUAAUACGGAGGGUGCAAGCGUUAAUCGGAAUUACUGGGCGUAAAGCGCACGCAGGCGGUCUGACAAGUCAGAUGUGAAAUCCCCGGGCUUAACCUGGGAACUGCAUUUGAAACUGUCAGGCUGGAGUCUUGUAGAGGGGGGUGGAAUUCCAGGUGUAGCGGUGAAAUGCGUAGAGAUCUGGAGGAAUACCGGUGGCGAAGGCGGCCCCCUGGACAAAGACUGACGCUCAGGUGCGAAAGCGUGGGGAGCAAACAGGAUUAGAGACCCGCGUAGUCCCUGUCUCUUAUAC
rnacentral:rRNA from 1 species